rnacentral:rRNA from 1 species
UACGUAGGGUGCAAGCGUUGCCCGGAUUUAUUGGGCGUAAAGGGCGCGUAGGCGGCUCGGCACGUCCGUUGUGAAAUCGCCCGGCUCAACUGGGCGGGGUCAGCGGAUACGGCGUGGCUGGAGCAAGCUAGGGGGCAAUGGAAUUCCCGGUGUAGUGGUGGAAUGCGUAGAUAUCGGGAGGAACACCAGUGGCGAAGGCGGUUGCCUGGAGCUUUGCUGACGCUGAUGCGCGAAAGCGUGGGGAGCGAGUCCGG